rnacentral:rRNA from 1 species
UGCCAGCCGCCGCGGUAAUACGGAGGGUGCAAGUGUUAAUCGGAAUCACUGGGCGUAAAGGGCGCGUAGGUGGCUAGAUAAGUCGGGUGUGAAAGCCCCGGGCUCAACCCGGGAAUUGCAUUCGAUACUGUCUGGCUAGAGUGUGGUAGAGGGAAGUGGAAUUCCGGGUGUAGCGGUGAAAUGCGUAGAUAUCCGGAGGAACAUCAGUGGCGAAGGCGGCUUCCUGGACCAACACUGACACUGAGGCGCGAAAGCGUGGGGAGCAAACAGGAUUAGAUA